GCACAGCUGAGUAGUCCCAUAAUAGGACGAAACGGCCGUCCAGUGC
rfam:Schistosoma mansoni strain Puerto Rico chromosome W, complete genome